UCUUCCUAAAUAUUAGGCUAAUUAAAUUUAAAUAUAUCUACUCUCUCUCUCUCAUGUCGUUCAUAUACCCAUCCUGAACCCUAGCCGCUUAAACCUGGAGUGAUUCUUCCUCCCCUCCUCCGUUUUUCGGCGCCAGUCCCACUCAUCGGCACUGGUGCGUCACCGAUGACCAGCAAUUUCUCAUCGUCUUUCUAAAUUGAGGGAGGCUAAGUUAGACUCCACCUUCAUCAUGCGCCAACCAAUCGAGUAAUCCUUCCCCUCACUCGAAAUCCUUACCAAUCGGCACAUGAAGUCUCUCCGACCAUCCCUACACAUCUUUGUUUCCCAUCGCCGACGUCACCUCCUGAUGACGCCUCUACCUUAGGUAUUUUUUAUGGAAAAUUAGGACCAAAUUUCGAAAAAUGAUAUCAAAAAUUUGUUGGGAAGGACAUACAUCGAUUCAACUUAAUUUUCAAAAAAGAAUAUAUUUUUUUCUUGUUCUGAACGUGAUGUCAAUUAUUUUGUUGCUUGAUUGUAUUGUAAUCAAGAAUGUAUAUUUUCCUGGAACUACUAUGUAUAUUUUCAUUCCUAAACAUUUUUUUUCUAGAAUUGUAUCUAUUGACUCAUCCAUUUUUGUU